CGCUUUAACCGCUAUGCCACCCAGGCGCCCCAGCUCUAGUCUUAAACCUUUGGAACUUACUUAAUUGCUAUUUCUGGCAUUCCCGAACCCUCGUAAAACCCUCUCGUUCUUCCCCGGGAAGAUGCUGACAUUGGUAAUGCAUGCAAUGAAAACUGAAGUGAGGAUAGAUUUUCACAAUUUUGUUACCUUUGAAAGCCAGCUGUCACAUGUCUAAAUUAAGGGUUUCGGUAUCAAAUUUUCUCAAGUGCUUGUUGAAGCCACAAAUGCAUGCAGAAAUGUUGGAAAUAAAAGAUACGCAGAGGCACAACAAAGCUUCCGUCUGUUUCAGAAGGUAUUCGGAGAGCAUUUCUUCAGGCAGCACCAGAGUGCGGGAUGGUGUCGGUGGAGUUGCGUCAUUGUGGACUCCUCACCCAGGAGUUGAAGAGGAGACAGAAAAAGCCUUGAAGCUGGAGCACCCACUCCACCUGCCAGCAGCAGAAAGAGGUCAACCCCACAGCAAGUGCUGACCAACUUGGCCCAGAGCCCCAGCUCAUCAGCGGGAUCCUAGACACAACUGUACAUCUCUCCAUAAGGGGACGGGGGGAGGGGCGACAAAAAUGUACUUUCUCAGACCAGGGGCAGCACUAACAGGGCGAGAGAUGAUUUUUUUUCCCUCUUAAAAAACAUUUAAGUAUGUAAGGUUGAAAUUGCAAAGCAAGAUAAAAGUUACAGCCUAAUUGUGUACUUAGAUAAAAAUACAUUUCUAGAAGGGAUACAAAAACAUGACGGAGUUUCACCUGUCACAGUCCACUCUUCUGUAUAUAAUUUGUAUUUUUUUUCGGCAAUAAAGUUUUUCAAACUUAA